AGCGAACGCUAGCGGCAGGCUUAACACAUGCAAGUCGAGCGGGCAUAGCAAUAUGUCAGCGGCAGACGGGUGAGUAACGCGUGGGAACGUACCUUUUGGUUCGGAACAACACAGGGAAACUUGUGCUAAUACCGGAUAAGCCCUUACGGGGAAAGAUUUAUCGCCGAAAGAUCGGCCCGCGUCUGAUUAGCUAGUUGGUGAGGUAAUGGCUCACCAAGGCGACGAUCAGUAGCUGGUCUGAGAGGAUGAUCAGCCACAUUGGGACUGAGACGCGGCCCAAACUCCUACGGGAGGAGGCAGGGGGGAAUAUUGGACAAUGGCCGCAAGCCUGAUCCAGCCAUGCCGCGUGAGUGAUGAAGGCCCUAGGGUUGUAAAGCUCUUUUGUGCGGGAAGAUAAUGACGGUACCGCAAGAAUAAGCCCCGGCUAACUUCGUGCCAGCAGCCGCCGUAA
rnacentral:rRNA from 1 species